CGGAAAAACAACAUUCGUAUUUUUAGGCUAAACACGAAAUGAUUGUAAUUAUUGUGUAAUGUGCAAUUUGGAUCUUCAGUGUUUAACUGUUAGUGUUAAUUUGAAUUAGUUAAAUUUGAAAUGAAACGAAAUACACUAGACUCCUUUUUUAAGCCACAACAAAAUCAGACAAAUAUUCAUGUGGAAAACAAAGACGUAAGUAAAAGAAAGUCGAUAAUAUUUAAUUAAUUAAUUAAUUAAUAUAAAUUAUUUCGUUUUUAAAACGUAUUUAUUAAUUAUUGUCUUUUUGAUUUUUGAACAAUCAAUUAGGUACCAGUGGAAAAAUUACUUUCGAAAAAAUCAGUGAUUAGCCCACAACCACCAAUAGUAAGAACUAAAAUCAAUUAAAUUAUUUAAGUCAAAUAAAAUUUGAAUUCAAAAUCUAAAUCGCAUAUUGUUAUGGUGUUAUACUUGUACUACCUGCAUAUUAGUAGAAGGCCUAGGGGAGACACUUAAUAUUUGUAUAAUUAUACAUCUAUAGAUUAUUGAUGGUAUAAAUAUUUUAUGAAAUACCUAUAUAUAUUAUGUCUUAUUGUUUUAAUUUGUCCUAGAUAUGAAAUGCUCCUGGUGAUAAUAUUAGUAAUAUUGAUGAAAGUGUAAAGGAUUCUGAGAUUUUUGUAGAUGUCAUUUCUUUAUUUAGUAAACAUCUAAAUCAUAAACAGAUGAGGAAAAACUAAAGGUAACAUUUAAUAUAGGUGGCUAAUUAAUUUAGACUUUGAGAGUUAAGAGAUUAUAUAUAUUUAUUAUAAAUAUUAUAAAUAAUUAAGAUGAAAUCAUAAACAAUUUCUAAUUUAUUUUUUUUUUUUUAAUAGGUUUUGAAACACAUUUGGGUUCCUCCUAACAAUUUUACUUUUCCAGUAAUAGAAAAUAAAAAAAAUUAAAUUAAAACUUCAGUCUUCAUAAAUGAAUUUAUUUCCUUGAUUAACAUGUUCAAAAAUUAUACGAGGUGAUUAUUGUAAAUAUUAUGUUGCAUUUUCCAAAUAUAGAGGAAUUGGAAAUCAACCACUUGGACAGCUCGUUAAUCCCUUUAUAAAUUAUAAAGAUGCUGUACAAGUAAAUAGUUUUAUUUGUUAAUAUGAAAAAUAUAAUUUGUAUUAUAUUUUAACUUCUAUAAUACAUAAUAAAUAGUUAUAUAUAUUUAUAUAUAAUACGAAAUCAUAAAAACUAGUAAAAUAAUAAGCUAUAUUAAAUUAUUAAAGAUUUCUGGGCUCAUGUUAAAAAAGUACCAUAUUGAUGCUGUGUUAGAUGCAGAAAAUUUUUUGGACGUCUUUGAAAAAAGAAAAUUGACAAUAGUACAACUAAUUGAUAAUAAUAGGUAAGUUAGCCAUUUUUGAUAUAUUUUGUACAUUUCUGUACUUAUAAAUUAUAUUUAUUAAAUUUCAAUAUUUAAUCAUUUAUAGAAUUAUUUAAAUACAAGAAAAUAAGAAAUGUUUGGUACCGAUUAUUCAAUAUAUCUUACUAUGUGGUCGAAAAGAUAUUUCUUUAAGACACCAUGAUCAUGGCCAAAUUGAUAUUAGUAGUAAUUGUAUACAUCUAUAUUUUGUAUAUUAAUUUAUAACAGUUAAAAAAACUCAAUUUUAAUCAUUUAGAUGAUAAGUGUAACGAAGGAAACUUGAAGGCUAUUUUAAAGUAUAGAGCUAAAGAGCAUGAUUAUCUAAUCUAAAAACAGUACUCGAAAGACCAGGUAAACAAAAUAAAUAAAUUAGUCCAGGAAUACAAAAUCAAGUCAUUGAAGCUUGCAACAAAAUCAUUUUAAAAAAAAAUUGUUGACAAAAUAAAUAUGUCUGUAUGUUUUUCUCUGAUGGUAGAUGAAACAGACAUUUCGACAACAGAAAUUAUCUAUUUGUGUGAGGUAUGUCAUUGGUAAAAAUAUACUAAAUGAAAG